GACGAGCGCUGGCGGCGUGCUUAACACAUGCGAGUCGAACGAUGAAGCCUAGCUUGCUAGGUGGAUUAGUGGCGAACGGGUGAGUAAUACGUGAGUAACCUACCUUUAACUCUGGGAUAAGCCUGGGAAACUGGGUCUAAUACCGGAUACGACCAAUCUCCGCAUGGGGUGUUGGUGGAAAGCGUUAUGUAGUGGUUAUAGAUGGGCUCACGGCCUAUCAGCUUGUUGGUGAGGUAACGGCUCACCAAGGCGACGACGGGUAGCCGGCCUGAGAGGGUGACCGGCCACACUGGGACUGAGACACGGCCCAGACUCCUACGGGAGGCAGCAGUGGGGAAUAUUGCACAAUGGGCGCAAGCCUGAUGCAGCGACGCCGCGUGAGGGAUGACGGCCUUCGGGUUGUAAACCUCUGUUAGCAGGGAAGAAGAGAGAUUGACGGUACCUGCAGAGAAAGCGCCGGCUAACUACGUGCCAGCAGCCGCGGUAAUACGUAGGGCGCGAGCGUUGUCCGGAAUUAUUGGGCGUAAAGAGCUUGUAGGCGGUUUGUCGCGUCUGCUGUGAAGGCCGGAGCUUAACUCCGUGUAUUGCAGUGGGUACGGGCAGACUAGAGUGCAGUAGGGGAGACUGGAAUUCCUGGUGUAGCGGUGGAAUGCGCAGAUAUCAGGAGGAACACCGAUGGCGAAGGCAGGUCUCUGGGCUGUAACUGACGCUGAGAAGCGAAAGCAUGGGGAGCGAACAGGAUUAGAUACCCUGGUAGUCCAUGCCGUAAACGUUGGGCACUAGGUGUGGGGGACAUUCCACGUUUUCCGCGCCGUAGCUAACGCAUUAAGUGCCCCGCCUGGGGAGUACGGCCGCAAGGCUAAAACUCAAAGAAAUUGACGGGGGCCCGCACAAGCGGCGGAGCAUGCGGAUUAAUUCGAUGCAACGCGAAGAACCUUACCAAGGCUUGACAUAUACUGGACCGCAUCAGAGAUGGUGUUUCCCUUCGGGGCUGGUAUACAGGUGGUGCAUGGUUGUCGACAGCUCGUGUCGUGAGAUGUUGGGUUAAGUCCCGCAACGAGCGCAACCCUCGUUCUAUGUUGCCAGCACGUUAUGGUGGGGACUCAUAGGAGACUGCCGGGGUCAACUCGGAGGAAGGUGGGGAUGACGUCAAAUCAUCAUGCCCCUUAUGUCUUGGGCUUCACGCAUGCUACAAUGGCCGGUACAGAGGGUUGCGAUACUGUGAGGUGGAGCUAAUCCCUAAAAGCCGGUCUCAGUUCGGAUUGGGGUCUGCAACUCGACCCCAUGAAGUCGGAGUCGCUAGUAAUCGCAGAUCAGCAACGCUGCGGUGAAUACGUUCCCGGGCCU
rnacentral:rRNA from 1 species